CUGCUUGUUUAUUUGCUUCCAUUCCUCUGUCCCUUCUUCACACAUGUCUACAUAAUACCCUGUAAUUGGACCUGCACCUAUGUACAGUGGUGCUUGCCAGUGCAACAUCAGGGAGGAAUCUCUCACUUCAGUGAACUUCACAUCAUAAGGAGGACCUGGUUCUGGCAUUGUCCAUUCCUCACAUUUGAACAAGUCGCUGGGUUCAG
rnacentral:lncRNA from 1 species